ACAUGAGCCCGAGCUUUAUUAGUAUUUUUUUUAAUGCUGACAAUUUUUAUGUUACUAAAAUUUCACGUGCUUCAACUUCAGUAAGUUUGGUCCAUAAAAGCUACACAUUCUGGAGAACCCCUCCCCCUACCCCAGCACAAUGUGAAUCUGUCAUUUAAAAUCUGCUUUGUGUCCAAAGGAAUAAAAUUAACUGGACUUUUUUUUCCCCCACAUGUAAAGAUGGAGUUCAGGAGAACAUUGAUAAAGGAAGUUUAUAAAUAGCUUUUCAAAAAUGGCCAACACUCAGUAGUCCUGAUUUAGUAAACCUUUCUAGCAGAGCAGCUAGCCAAUAGAGCAGAGGUUAGUUUGAGAUUCACUUGCUUUGUUGUUGUUGUUGUUGUUCCUAACUGAUCCUUGACAGCACAGGAAAUCUACAUGGUAAGGCAGAGGAGGGAGCAGGAAGCAACCCAGGCCCCAGAAAGCACGUAAACAGAGGGAGGCCCAGAGCAUGUCCUGGGGACUCAGGGCCCUUCCCAGCACAAGCCAGCUCCUCAUUCUCAGGCAUCUCAGCAGAUUCAGUUUGUCCUUGUCUUUGUGUAGCUGUCCCCUCCACUCUCCUUAUUUUAGGAUAUUUACCGCCUUCUCCUCUGCCCUCCUCAAGUCACUAAGUGGACCCAAUAUUUCAGUGCUCCUGUUAUUUGCUACUCCUAAAGCUCUGCUGCCCAGAGACUGCCACCCAAAUGGAUGUGCCUUUUAUUCUCUGAGAGGAUAAAUUGCAGUUGACAUCAUCAAGGAAACACACACAGGCCUCGCCAGGAGAGAGACGUAUCCUACCUUGAGCAGGAUGUACCUACCAUCCAAGUACCACUGCAUCAGAGGGACCGCUGUGCUUCCUGCAGCAGUGUGCACAUCCUAUGAAGUCCAGAAGCUGGAGCAGAUGCCCAGAUGACAGAGCUCAGCCGUCUAGGUGGCCUUCUUCAUCUCUAGCAGAUGAACUGAGUGCUCUGGAAUCCUGAGGGGAGAGAGGAGGCAGGAGUCCCUCCUAUGGCACAAAUUCUCAAGAAACUGACCACAGUUUUUACUGAGGGGUCCAAGAGGCUGAACUUCAUCACAGGUGUGUUCUGUUGUCCUUUAAACAUAUGAUGUCACAGCCAGAAAAGUUCCCUUUACCAGCUGUAUUAUCAAAUAUUAGCUUACAUGUGUGGCUCUUCUGCAUUUCCACAUGUAUUUUCUUAGUCUAUAUUGUAAGUGAGGAAGUGGAGACUCCAAGAAGCGACCUGCCCUGCCCACCUCGCAAGUAAAAAUGGAGCUAAUACAGAAGACAGAUAUUUUAAAAUCUAUAAUGAA